AACGCACGAGACCUGCGGACCUGCGGAAGGAUCAUUAUUGAGUGUUAACCCCCCUGUAAAAAAGGGAGGUACCUCCUGUCCUUUGUAGGCCCUUUUUAGGGGCUUUUUUGACUUUCUGCUUCGGUGGGGUUAUCCUGCCGGAACAACUUCAAAACUCUGAUUAAAAAACUGUUCUGUCCGAGUGUCUUAUAAUAUGAAAAAAAAACUUUCAACAAUGGAUCUCUAGAUCGGAAGAGCACA
rnacentral:misc_RNA from 1 species